rnacentral:rRNA from 1 species
GACGAACGCUGGCGGCGUGCUUAACACAUGCAAGUCGAACGGAAAGGCCCUGCUUUUGUGGGGUGCUCGAGUGGCGAACGGGUGAGUAACACGUGAGUAGCCUGCCCUUGACUUUGGGAUAACUUCAGGAAACUGGGGCUAAUACCGGAUAGGAGCUCCUGCUGCAUGGUGGGGGUUGGAAAGCUUCGGCGGUUGGGGAUGGACUCGCGGCUUAUCAGCUUGUUGGUGGGGUAGUGGCUUACCAAGGCUUUGACGGGUAGCCGGCCUGAGAGGGUGACCGGCCACAUUGGGACUGAGAUACGGCCCAGACUCCUACGGGAGGCAGCAGUGGGGAAUAUUGCACAAUGGGCGGAAGCCUGAUGCAGCAACGCCGCGUGCGGGAUGACGGCCUUCGGGUUGUAAACCGCUUUCGCCUGUGACGAAGCGUGAGUGACGGUAAUGGGUAAAGAAGCACCGGCUAACUACGUG